AGGUGAACGGCCACCAGCACCGUGGUGCAAACGCUGAAGGCGAUGAGGAGCACGGGAGGGUAACUGUACUGCAUCUCCAACUGCACCUCCACCAUGGCCACCUGACACCAACCACAUACAGCCGUUCAUUAUUAACAUCAGGACUGACCAUUGCAAACCCAGACAGCAGGGCGGAGGUUCUGCUGGAGGCCUUCAGCUUGGCUCGGCUCAGGUACAGUUUCCUCCAGGACAGGGCCUGUACCGAGUGGUGGUUGGAGCUGACCAGUUCCAGAUAACUGCGCCUCACCCAGUCCCUGUAGUCCAUCCCCCUGCCGUCCGCAGCCUGUUCUGAGACACCAGGAGCCGGAGAGCCCAUUGGAACGUUCAGCUCACUACUCAUGACGCCUGGAGAGAAGAAAGCCAUUAAAACCAGACUGCUAAAGCAGCGGCCGGCAGACCAAACACAGCCCAGACUAAACCUCUGAGAGGCCCAAUCUUAGGAGAGCUGGAAGAAUUACAACUGGACUUUACUUCACGAUGACUAUGGAUGUGUUGUGAAUGGACUCCAUGACCGCAGCCAGCCGACUACAAAGGUCAUGGGCCUGGUUGACAUGGACUUUAGGCGGGUCUUUAAGGACUAAUGUCUCAGAGGCGCCGUCUAAAACCCUGGGCAGCAACUCACCCAGCUUCACCUGCAGUGCAUCUGGACACAAAGACCUUCCAUGUCUUGGCUCAGGCAGCAGCACCACUGGCUGCGUAUGGUCUCCAUAGCCUCCCUGUCUUCCUGGGACAGACUAGACUCCCGGCUCAUGAGAUGAAGACAGGGGAUCACGGCCUCGUCCAUGAUGGCCACGCCCUCCUCUACUUUGCUCUCCUCACCACUACAGAACAGCCGAGAAGCACUUUCAUUCAACGCCUGUGUGGAGGACAAUGAUGGGAAAGAUAAAUCACUGGAAAAGUGUGGACCUGACUGAUUCUGCUAAUCUGAAGAUGGCGAUAAGUGACCUGUCCACACCACGUUUGUCUCCGUUCUUCAGCAGUGUGUUGUUGGUCUCGUAGGCGUGUGCCAGGUGCAGCAGAGCGAGUGAACAUACAUCAGUGUGGUCGUGGGGCUGUGACACCUACUUGCUGUGCUGGAAGUGCUCCAGUCCUGUGAGCAGUCAUGAACUAUUCACUCAACACGGCUAUGUCCUAGACUUGAAUUAAUCAGAGAGGAAAGCACGGAAACCUCCCAGACUCAAUCAUUAGCAAAUGGAAGAUGAUUCUCUGAGGUUUCAGACAGUACCAGGUAUAUGUCCAUGUCCAUGUCCUCUGGUUUGAUGAGGCGAAGUUUGGUCCGAGCCUCUCUCAUGAUACUGAUCCCCCUAGAACAUUUGAAAGAUGUCCUCCAGAGGAAUUCCCUGAUGGAAACACUGCUGCUGAAGUAUCAGCAUUUAAAUGGAAGACAUGUAGCUUUGUUAUUGUAAAAAAUAAAUAUGAUUUUUUUUAUU